AUAUACUUUAACACUAUAAUUGUGCUGAAAUUCUUUCAUAUGCUUACUGCACUCCUUUUGUUCUUGCAGCAUUUUGGGAUGCUGUUGUAACAUGUUUCUUCCUGGAUACGGCACAUAACAUUGUUGAAUACAUUGAAAUAAUAUCAAAAAUUCUCAAAAGUGGAGGAGUCUGGAUAAAUUUGGGCCCUCUACUUUAUCACUUUGCAGACUCAUACUCACCUGAUGAUGAGAUGUCCAUUGAACUCAGUUUGGAAGAUGUGAAGAAAGUUGCUUUCCACUAUGGAUUUGAAUUGGAGAUGGAGAAAAUCAUUGAGACGACUUACACUGCAAAUCCUCGGUCAAUGAUGCAAGUAAGCUUGUUAUCUUUUUGGUUAAUUUG